rnacentral:rRNA from 1 species
CCUACGGGAGGCAGCAGUGGGGAAUUUUCCGCAAUGGGCGAAAGCCUGACGGAGCAACGCCGCGUGAGGGAUGAAGGCCUCUGGGCUGUAAACCUCUUUUAUCAAGGAAGAAGAUCUGACGGUACUUGAUGAAUAAGCCACGGCUAAUUCCGUGCCAGCAGCCGCGGUAACACGGGAGUGGCAAGCGUUAUCCGGAAUUAUUGGGCGUAAAGCGUCCGCAGGCGGCCCUUCAAGUCUGCUGUUAAAAAGUGGAGCUUAACUCCAUCAUGGCAGUGGAAACUGUUGGGCUUGAGUGUGGUAGGGGCAGAGGGAAUUCCCGGUGUAGCGGUGAAAUGCGUAGAUAUCGGGAAGAACACCAGUGGCGAAGGCGCUCUGCUGGGCCAUCACUGACGCUCAUGGACGAAAGCCAGGGGAGCGAAAGGGAUUAGAUACCCCUGUAGUCCUGGCCGUAAACGAUGAACACUAGGUGUCGGGGGAAUCGACCCCUCCGGUGUCGUAGCCAACGCGUUAAGUGUUCCGCCUGGGGAGUACGCACGCAAGUGUGAAACUCAAAGGAAUUGACGG